rnacentral:misc_RNA from 1 species
UGUGUGUAAAAGAUAAUAGUAUAUUUAUAAUUAAGAAUUAUAAGGUAAUUUAAUGUAUUUAUAACUAAAAUUAUUAAGAAAAUAUAGAAAAAUAAAAUAUAAUAUUAGGUUGUAUUUAGUUCAUAAUUAUAUAUACAUAUAUAAAUAUAUAUAAUUAUAUUGAAAGUAUAUAAUACAUCUAAAAAUACAUAUGUAUAAAUUCGAUUCUCAGUUCGGUUUUUGUACGGUUUCGGUUCGGUUCUUAGUGAAGAAUUAGAAUUGAACCAAAGUAUCAAAAUAAAUUUGGUUCAGUAAGGUUCCUGUCGGUUCGGUACGGUUCUUCGGUUUGGUUUAGUUCGGUUUAAUUCUCCCAAGAACUAUGCACAGCCCUUGUUUUAACUGAUGUUAUCUUAUAAUAAUUCUCUGCCUUCAAUUUUUCUUCUAAUAUCUAAUUAUACUCCUGCGGGUGUUAUAUGGAGAUUAUUUUAUUGUUUUAUUGUUAUGAUUUUAAUAUAAUAAUUAGUGAAAAUUUCACAUAAAUUGUUUUUCUUUUUAUGUUCUCUGAUUUUGUGAGCUUAAUUCUUCUAAUGUUAUUUACCAACAAUAUUCAUCUUAGCGGACAGGUGGUGGAACUUACUGUGCAGUU